UAUUAUUAUUUUUUAAAUUUUUUUUUCUUUUUUUUCCUGCAGAAAUUUUAAUUCAUCUUUGUGAAACACUAAAUUGCACGAGCUCUUCCCAGGACAGCUGGGCAUGGAGCAGAACAGGGAGCAAACCCAUCACUCCAAGCAGACUUCUAAGAAAGGACUGAAGGGAUGGAAAAUGUGCAAGGGAAUGCGUGAGGUGCUGGAUGGUGAAUUCCCACCACUGGAGUACAGAGAAGAUCAUGACUGAAUCACACAUGGAGCAAGUUUAUUCUCAGUCAUCAGAAUGGCAGAGUGGGAGAGAAGCAAGUGGCUGAAUUCCAAGAAAGCCAUGGAGGGCAAGAGAAGGUUCAAACGACUUGUUUUUAAGUCAUCCUGGAUCCAGAAGAUGAUGUGGGGUUACCACAGCUACAGCUACACCAGAAAGACAAGGCCACAUGCUGGAAUGGAAUUACUGGCAAGCAUGUCACUAAUUACCUGGGGAGUCACAGGGCCUUCUGCAAAACAGACUGGAGAGACACUCCAAGUCCAAGCAAGUGUCAGUUCUGAACAAAGGAACUUGCAAGAAGCUUUUCCUCUGGACACACACAUAAUCCUUCUGGAUUUUUGGGGAGGGAGGGGAGAAUACACAUCACCUAACAAGUUUCAGGGAAGUUUCAGGGAAGUUUCAGGGAAGUUUCAGGGAAGUUUCAGGGAAGUUUCAGGGAAGUUUCAGGGAAGUUUCAGGGAAGUUUCAGGGAAGUUUCAGGGAAGUUUCAGGGAAGUUUCAGGGAAGUUUCAGGGAAGUUUCAGGGAAGUUUCAGGGAAGUUUCAGGGAAGUUUCAGGGAAGUUUCAGGGAAGUUUCAGGGAAGUUUCAGGGAAGUUUCAGGGAAGGGAAGGGAAGGGAAGGGAAGGGAAGGGAGACAUUUCCCCAACAGUCUAUUAGGAGCCAUUUCCUUGAUUAUGUACAGAUGGUAGCACGCUGCAGGCUCUGGAAUGACCUUCCUUUUCAUCCAGUCAGUUUCAACACUGAAUGGGCUCAGAAUAUAAAGAAUAUGGGCCUUGUACUGCACAGCAUUGCAUACUGUCAAGACAGGUUCAGAUAAAAUCCACCCACAAAUACGUGAGUCACAACUCAGAAACGUAUUCCAAUGUAGACAUACCCUGAGUCACUUCCAUCUCAAAAGCUUAUAAAU
rnacentral:lncRNA from 12 species